AUUGAACGCUGGCGGCAUGCCUUACACAUGCAAGUCGAACGGUAACAGGUCUUCGGAUGCUGACGAGUGGCGAACGGGUGAGUAAUACAUCGGAACGUGCCUAGUAGUGGGGGAUAACUACUCGAAAGAGUGGCUAAUACCGCAUGAGAUCUACGGAUGAAAGCAGGGGAUCGCAAGACCUUGUGCUACUAGAGCGGCCGAUGGCAGAUUAGGUAGUUGGUGGGAUAAAAGCUUACCAAGCCGACGAUCUGUAGCUGGUCUGAGAGGACGAUCAGCCACACUGGGACUGAGACACGGCCCAGACUCCUACGGGAGGCAGCAGUGGGGAAUUUUGGACAAGGGGCGCAAGCCUGAUCCAGCAAUGCCGCGUGCAGGAUGAAGGCCUUCGGGUUGUAAACUGCUUUUGUACGGAACGAAAAGCCCUGGGUUAAUACCCUGGGGUCAUGACGGUACCGUAAGAAUAAGCACCGGCUAACUACGUGCCAGCAGCCGCCAGUAAGAC
rnacentral:rRNA from 1 species